CGGGCAACAUGAUGAACGAAACCAAAUCACCAUCUUUCGGCUGAAAACGUGAUGAUUUGUUUUACCUGACAUACCCAG